rnacentral:rRNA from 1 species
UGGGGAAUAUUGGACAAUGGGCGCAAGCCUGAUCCAGCCAUGCCGCGUGAGUGAUGAAGGCCUUCGGGUUGUAAAGCUCUUUUGGCGGGGACGAUGAUGACGGUACCCGCAGAAUAAGCCCCGGCAAACUUCGUGCCAGCAGCCGCGGUAAGACGAAGGGGGCAAGCGUUGUUCGGAAUUACUGGGCGUAAAGCGCGCGUAGGCGGCUUUGUAAGUUAGAGGUGAAAGCCCGGAGCUCAACUCCGGAACUGCCUUUAAGACUGCAUCGCUAGAACGUCGGAGAGGUAAGUGGAAUUCCGAGUGUAGAGGUGAAAUUCGUAGAUAUUCGGAAGAACACCAGUGGCGAAGGCGACUUACUGGACGACUGUUGACGCUGAGGUGCGAAAGCGUGGGGAGCAAA